GUCAUGAAGGGUGGUUGAGAGACAGAUGUGGAUUCAAAUCUCAGCCUCGCCUUUUACAAGCUACAUGUAUUUAGACAGAUUAACCUCUCUGGAGCCAGCAGCAACUGGAAAACAUCAAAGACUGAUGAUAAAGUGAUCAGCAAAGGGAGUCAUUUUACUCACUGGGAUUCAUAGGGACCCAUCCUGCGGAAGAACAGCAUCUGUUGACCUUCAUGACUAAGGCAGUGGAGACUCUAAGUGGAGUCCAGCCAGGGCACACGCAACAGCCCCACCCAGAAAGGCUCCCUCACCUCCACAUGGUGUCCCAUCGCUAAGGAAGCCCAAGGGCACACUAUGGCCUCUAGCCUUAGUCCUGAACCUUUUCCUUGAUCCCUCCUGUCCUCCAUUCCCAUUAUAUUUCUAAUCUUCCAUUUAUUCUGUUAAUAAACUAAUGUUUAGGACUUCCCUGGCGGUCCAGUGGUUAAGACUCAGCACCGCCAGGUCAGGGGGCACGUGUUCGAUUCCUGGUUGGGGAAAUAAUAUCCCACAUGCUGCAUAGUGUGGCCAAAAGAUUGAAAUAAAAAUGAAUAUGAGGAGUAAAAUUUUUUAAAAAAAAACUUUCCUGGCGGCUCAGGGGUAACCUGCCUGCCAGUGCAGGAGACACGAGCUCGAUCCCUGAUCCGCAAAGAGCCCGCAUGCCACGGAGCAGCUAAGGCCUAUGACUGUUACAGCCUGUGGCCCACAGUCCAAGAACCACGGCUGCUGAAACCCUGGUGCCUUACAGCCCGUGCCCUGCAACAAGAGAAGCCGUCGCAAUGAGAAGCCUGCGCGCUGCAACCAGAGUAGCCCCCGCCAGCAAUGGGAACCUGGCGCAGCCAAACAUAAAUAAAUAAACUGGUUUAAGAAAAAAACUAUGGAAGUAUUUUAAAUAAAAUAAUGUUUGGCCCACGGCUUAAUCAACCGAAAGGAGCAUUCCCUUUAGGUGAAAGGGUUCUGCAACUUCUCGGUAAGUCUGACCCAGGAUCUGCACCAUACAGCAGAGUUUUACCCUCACCCCACGGAGCCCAGCCUCCAUGAAAACUCGGGUAAUGGACUCUUUGGCCCAGGUACACUGCCUCAGGCCAGCCAGGGACUACCUCUUCUGCUCCAGUGCUGUGCCAGGACUGUCCACCUAGGCACUGACCCUCAAGCUGCCUCCUGCCCAUAAGUUCAGCCCCAUGAGUGGGACCUGGGC
rnacentral:lncRNA from 1 species